rnacentral:rRNA from 1 species
CCUACGUGAGGCAGCAGUGAGGAAUAUUGGUCAAUGGACGAGAGUCUGAACCAGCCAAGUAGCGUGAAGGAUGACUGCCCUAUGGGUUGUAAACUUCUUUUAUAUGGGAAUAAAAUGUUCCACGUGUGGGCUUUUGUAUGUACCAUAUGAGUAAGGAUCGGCUAACUCCGUGCCAGCAGCCGCGGUACUACGGAGGGUCCGAGCGUUAUCCGGAUUUAUUGGGUUUAAAGGGAGCGUAGGUGGAUUGUUAAGUCAGUUGUGAAAGUUUGCGGCUCAACCGUAAAAUUGCAGUUGAAACUGGCAGUCUUGAGUACAGUAGAGGGGGGUGGAAUUCGUGGUGUAGCGGUGAAAUGCUUAGAGAUCACGAAGAAUUCCGAUUGCGAAGGCAGCCCACUGGACUGCAACUGACACUGAGGCUCGAAAGUGUGGGUAUCAAACAGGAUUAGAUACCCUGGUAGUC